rnacentral:tRNA from 1 species
GGAGAAGUGGCCGAGAGGCUGAAGGCGGUGGAUUGCUAAUCCAUUAUAGGGAGUAAAUCUCUAUCCAGGGUUCGAAUCCCUGCUUCUCCG